rnacentral:rRNA from 1 species
AUUGAACGCUGGCGGCAGGCCUAACACAUGCAAGUCGAGCGAGUGGCGGACGGGUGAGUAAUGUCUGGGGAACUGCCUGAUGGAGGGGGAUAACUACUGGAAACGGUAGCUAAUACCGCAUACCAUCAGAUGUACCCAUAUGGGAUUAGCUAGUAGGUGGGGUAACGGCUCACCAAGGCGACGAUCCCUAGCUGGUCUGAGAGGAUGACCAGCCACACUGGGACUGAGACACGGUCCAGACUCCUACGGGAGGCAGAAGUGGGGAAUAUUGCACAAUGGGCGCAAGCCUGAUGCAGCCAUGCCGCGUGUAUGAAGAAGGCCUUCGGGUUGUAAAGUACUUUCAGUGGGGAGGCGUUACCGGCAGAAGAAGCACCGGCUAACUCCGUGCCAGCAGCCGCGGUAAUAC